rnacentral:lncRNA from 1 species
AUGGAGGCAGAGGUUGCAGUGAUGCAGCCACAAGCCAAGGGAUGCCUGGAGCCACCAAAAGUUGGAAAAAGGAAGGAAGUAUUCUCCUCUGCAGGCUUCAGAGGGAGCACAGCUGCUGACGGCUUAAUUUCUGACUCUGCAUCCAGAACUGAGAAACAACAAAUUUCUGUUCUUGGGAGCUACCUACUUUGUGAGGAUUUGUUACGGCUGCCCCCAGGAAACUACACCUCUACUCAUGUUGAAGAUUUUUGCAUUCCCAGUAAUACAGUGAUUCUACUUUUAGGGUGGUGAGUCUUUGAUCCAGUCUGAGAAAGCUGCACUCGGUGACGACAAACCAGCUCCAGCCUCUCUCUCUCGGUGACUCUGCGAUGCUAAAAAUAAAUAAAUUUAACAGACGCCUUCAAGGGACCAUCAACCCAGCCGCACACUGAGUCGGCACGAGUGCAUGCCAGGCAACGCGCUCAGCUCUCCGGGGCUGCGUCACCAGCUGCAUUGCGACUCCCGCACUUUCAUAUGCUGCAGCCCUCGCCCCCGGCACCUCACAAUGGGACUGCAUUUGGCAGUAGGGUCUUGAAGAGAUGGAUGGGUAAAAUGGAGCCAUAGGGGUGGCCCUCAUCCAAUAGGACCCGUGUCCUUAUAGGAAGAGGAGGUCAGGACACAGACACACACAGGGACGGCCGGGAGGGGACACAGGCAGAGGACAGCGUCCAGAAGCCCAGGAGAGGAGCCUCGGGAGGAACCAGCCCUGCCCACACCUUGGUCUUAGACUUCCGGCCUCCAGAACUGCAAGGAAGUGAGUUUCUGUGGUUUAAGCCACCCAGCCUGCAGAAUUUUGUUAUGGAAGGUUGUAACAAAGUCUUUCUGAAAAAUACAAGCAUUUCAAGCAGAGGCCCUUCACAGCCUGUUACACAACCACUCAAAGUGCACCCUUGUCUUUUGCAAUUUCUCUUGGAAUUGGCUAUGUCACUGGCACUCGCGCCUAGGCCGUCCCGAGGGGUCAGCCCUGGGCACUGUCUCCCUUUCCGGGUGUGGGAACUGGCUGCCGGCGUGGGAACGGCUGCUUGUCCCAGUGGUGCCCACCUGUGGCCACACUGCAAGGCCACCCAGGCCUAGAGAUGUCACUGAGGACUGACCCGGAGACGCCGACCUCAGGGUCCUGGGAGGCUGCGCACUGGCCAUGUUGGAGGUGACCCUCAUGUCACCCAGGUCAAGAGCCACGGGCCCUACACGUCCUCUCCUUCCCUGUCUCCCAGCCGUGGGCCCAGACUGGAUGGCUUUGGCUAAGGAAUCAAUGCAGGUGGAGAAGGAGGCUGACGAUGGAGCCCGGGUGCUCCAGCCUUGAGUGAACAGAGGAGGAACCGACCCUGAGCCUGCACAGCAGCCACGCGGGGGUGCUUUGCG